AGCGUCAAACCAUUCACACAUUUGGCCACUCAACAAUGGAAAUUAGCGCCAAACACCAUACCAGAAACCUACAACAUGCACAACUAUGAUAUGAUAAACUAAAAACCUAUUUAGGUGACCAAAUUAGUAUUCCUAACUCAAUAUUUGAUCUAAAAACAUGCUUUAAUGUCAAAGUAAAUACUAAUUUUCUAAAAAUCACUAGAUACUUA
rnacentral:lncRNA from 1 species